rnacentral:lncRNA from 1 species
AUGCCAAGUGGUCUUUAAUUAUGUAAAUUUAUCCUCCAAAAAUGUUCACAUUGCUUACUUAAAGCUUUGAGGGUCCCUUUGUUAAACUAGAUUAGGGACAUUAAUUAUGUUGCAAAGAUUUCAUAUCCAAUGCUAAACUCAAGUUUACUUUAGACUCAUGUCAAUGUUAAUGGAACAUUUAAGGGUCUUAAUCAGUAGAAAAGCUUUCUAAAGUUGCUAAGAAUUGAUUUUUAUUUUUAUUUGUUAAAAUGUGAUCACAAUUAGGAGUUCUAGCAAGGUUAUUUAACUCAAGUGUGUUGAUUUAGUGACACUCCACUAGGUUCGUGUGAGGGACUAUGUACUAGAUAGUUUCAAAUGAGAA